GACGAACGCUGGCGGCGUGCUUAACACAUGCAAGUCGAACGGAAAGGCCCUGCUUUUGUGGGGUGCUCGAGUGGCGAACGGGUGAGUAACACGUGAGUAACCUGCCCUUGACUUUGGGAUAACUUCAGGAAACUGGGGCUAAUACCGGAUAGGAGCUCCUGCUGCAUGGUGGGGGUUGGAAAGUUUCGGCGGUUGGGGAUGGACUCGCGGCUUAUCAGCUUGUUGGUGGGGUAGUGGCUUACCAAGGCUUUGACGGGUAGCCGGCCUGAGAGGGUGACCGGCCACAUUGGGACUGAGGUACGGCCCAGACUCCUACGGGAGGCAGCAGUGGGGAAUAUUGCACAAUGGGCGGAAGCCUGAUGCAGCAACGCCGCGUGCGGAAUGACGGCCUUCGGGUUGUAAACCGCUUUCGCCUGUGCCGAAGCGUGAGUGACGGUAAUGGGUAAAGAAGCACCGGCUAACUACGUG
rnacentral:rRNA from 1 species